GACGAACGCUGGCGGCGUGCUUAACACAUGCAAGUCGAACGGAAAGGCCCUGCUUUUGUGGGGUGCUCGAGUGGCGAACGGGUGAGUAACACGUGAGUAACCUGCCCUUGACUUUGGGAUAACUUCAGGAAACUGGGGCUAAUACCGGAUAGGAGCUCCUGCUGCAUGGUGGGGGUUGGAAAGUUUCGGCGGUUGGGGAUGGACUCGCGGCUUAUCAGCUUGUUGGUGGGGUAGUGGCUUACCAAGGCUUUGACGGGUAGCCGGCCUGAGAGGGUGACCGGCCACAUUGGGACUGAGAUACGGCCCAGACUCCUACGGGAGGCAGCAGUGGGGAAUAUUGCACAAUGGGCGGAAGCCUGAUGCAGCAACGCCGCGUGCGGGAUGACGGCCUUCGGGUUGUAAACCGCUUUCGCCUGUGACGAAGCGUGAGUGACGGUAAUGGGUAAAGAAGCACCGGCUAACUACGUGCCAGCAGCCGCGGUGAUACGUAGGGUGCGAGCGUUGUCCGGAUUUAUUGGGCGUAAAGGGCUCGUAGGUGGUUGAUCGCGUCGGAAGUGUAAUCUUGGGGCUUAACCCUGAGCGUGCUUUCGAUACGGGUUGACUUGAGGAAGGUAGGGGAGAAUGGAAUUCCUGGUGGAGCGGUGGAAUGCGCAGAUAUCAGGAGGAACACCAGUGGCGAAGGCGGUUCUCUGGGCCUUUCCUGACGCUGAGGAGCGAAAGCGUGGGGAGCGAACAGGCUUAGAUACCCUGGUAGUCCACGCUGUAAACGGUGGGUACUAGGUGUGGGGUCCAUUCCACGGGUUCCGUGCCGUAGCUAACGCUUUAAGUACCCCGCCUGGGGAGUACGGCCGCAAGGGCUAAAACUCAAAGGAAUUGACGGGGCCCCGCACAAGCGGCGGAGCAUGCGGAUUAAUUCGAUGCAACGCGUAGAACCUUACCUGGGUUUGACAUGGGUCGGGAGUGCUCAGAGAUGGGUGUGCCUCUUUUGGGGUCGGUUCACAGGUGGUGCAUGGCUGUCGUCAGCUCGUGUCGUGAGAUGUUGGGUUAAGUCCCGCAACGAGCGCAACCCUUGUUCACUGUUGCCAGCACGUUAUGGUGGGGACUCAGUGGAGACCGCCGGGGUCAACUCGGAGGAAGGUGGGGAUGACGUCAAGUCAUCAUGCCCCUUAUGUCCAGGGCUUCACGCAUGCUACAAUGGCUGGUACAGAGAGUGGCGAGCCUGUGAGGGUGAGCGAAUCUCGGAAAGCCGGUCUCAGUUCGGAUUGGGGUCUGCAACUCGACCUCAUGAAGUCGGAGUCGCUAGUAAUCGCAGAUCAGCAACGCUGCGGUGAAUACGUUCCCGGGGCU
rnacentral:rRNA from 1 species